rnacentral:rRNA from 1 species
AAUUCGCCCUUAGAGUUUGAUCAUGGCUCAGAGCGAACGCUGGCGGCAGGCUUAACACAUGCAAGUCGAGCGGGCCCUUCGGGGUCAGCGGCGGACGGGUGAGUAACGCGUGGGAACGUGCCUUCUGGUCUGGAAUAACCCUGGGAAACUAGGGCUAAUACCGGAUACGCCCUUUUGGGGAAGGGUUUACUGCCGGAAGAUCGGCCCGCGUCUGAUUAGCUAGUUGGUGGGGUAAUGGCCUACCAAGGCGACGAUCAGUAGCUGGUCUGAGAGGAUGAUCAGCCACACUGGGACUGAGACACGGCCCAGACUCCUACGGGAGGCAGCAGUGGGGAAUAUUGGACAAUGGGCGCAAGCCUGAUCCAGCUAUGCCGCGUGAGUGAUGAAGGCCUUAGGGUUGUAAAGCUCUUUUAUCCGGGACGAUAAUGACGGUAC